AAAACUUUCAACAACGGAUCUCUUGGUUCCGGCAUCGAUGAAGAACGCAGCGAAAUGCGAUAACUAAUGUGAAUUGCAGAAUUCAGUGAAUCAUCGAGUCUUUGAACGCACAUUGCGCCCUCUGGUAUUCCGGAGGGCAUGCCUGUCCGAGCGUCAUU
rnacentral:rRNA from 7 species